rnacentral:tRNA from 1 species
GGGGUGGUAGCUCAGUGGUAGAGCACUUGUUUCACACGCAUGAGGCCUGGGUUCAAUCCUCAGCACCACA